rnacentral:tRNA from 2 species
GGUGAGGUGCCUGAGAGGCCGAAAGGAGCGGUUUGCUAAACCGUCGUGGUGCCCAAAGCGCCACCGCGGGUUCGAAUCCCGCCCUCACCG